rnacentral:rRNA from 1 species
GGCCUACCAUGGUUUUAACGGGUAACGGGGAAUUAGGGUUCGAUUCCGGAGAGGGAGCCUGAGAAACGGCUACCACAUCCAAGGAAGGCAGCAGGCGCGCAAAUUACCCAAUCCCGACACGGGGAGGUAGUGACAAUAAAUAACAAUACAGGGCCCUUACGGGUCUUGUAAUUGGAAUGAGUACAAUUUAAAUCUCUUAACGAGGAACAAUUGGAGGGCAAGUCUGGUGCCAGCAGCCGCGGUAAUUCCAGCUCCAAUAGCGUAUAUUAAAGUUGUUGCAGUUAAAAAGCUCGUAGUUGAAUUUUGGGUCUGGCCGGGCGGUCCGCCCUCCGGGUGAGUACUGUUCCGACGCCGGGCCUAUCCUUCUGGAGAGUCGGCAUGUCCUUUGUUGGGUGUGCCGGGGAACCAGGACCAUUACCUUGAAAAAAUUAGAGUGUUCAAAGCAGGCGUAUGCUCGGAUACAUUAGCAUGGAAUAAUGAAAUAGGACGCGUGGUGCUAUUUUGUUGGUUUCUAGAACCGCCGUAAUGAUUAAUAAGGAUAGUUGGGGGCAUUAGUAUUCAAUUGUCAGAGGUGAAAUUCUUGGAUUUAUUGAAGACUAACUUCUGCGAAAGCAUUUGCCAAGGAUGUUUUCAUUAAUCAAGAACGAAAGUUAGGGGAUCGAAGACGAUCAGAUACCGUCGUAGUCUUAACCAUAAACUAUGCCGACUAGGAAUCGGGCGAUGUUAUUCUCAUGACUCGCCCGGCGCCUUAUGGGAAACCAAAGUGUUUGGGUUC